AAUUUAAUCACUUCAACAAAAACAAUAAAUUCUGUUCAUUUUAGUUUUCAUUUUUAGUAGUGGUCGGUAGGGUAAGGGAAGACUAGGUAGAAUCUAUCACCACAGAAUCUCAUUCACUAAGUAAAGUCACCUCUACAAAUAUUCUUGACAAGUGGUCCUCCAGCUUGAAUACUUAAUACUUCGGGUGAUGGAGGGUUUACUAGUACAAAAGAUGGCUCCUUCCAACUCUGGACAGUUCUAGCUUUAAGCUCUGCUUAAAAGUGCUGAAAAUCCAAAAGCCCCAAAAGCAGUGUGUUUUUUUUCUCAUUACUCUAGAGAAGUGUCUCCAAAGUUAGACACACAAGACAUGUCAUAAAGAUGAGAGGAACCAACCAGUUAGAAGAUGGGCCACAUCUCGCCCUCCAAGCUAGCCAAAGAUGAGAUCCAGGUCACACCAGGUGAGUAGGAGACUGAGGCACCCAGGGAUUAUGCCAAGGUUGUCUGAGCUACAUUUGAGUUCCUUCCCUGGAGGGUUUCAGUUAUAACAAGUCAUGAAGAUAUUAAAGAUGUAUUCAAAAGAUGAGCAAAGAGUUCAUGGACCAGAUUUACAGAUAUAUUUCUAAUAUUUCACAUGAUUGAUUUCUGAAUCCUUAAAUUGGAUGAGACUUAAAUUUUGUGGAACUUAAAAAUUAAACCUCUACUAUUAUCUGCAGUCUGAAAAGUCCUUUGUAAUGUCAGUGUUUCUGGAGGAAGGUUUGAUCAAAGUCAAGAAGCAACUUCAAAAGAGCGUCUUUCCUGGGCACCCUAUUGUACAAUUAUGUUGCUAUCCGAUCUAUCUUAUAAUUGGUUGUCAAUAUUACAGUUAUGCUUCUGUUGUUUUACUUGUUUGAUUGACAUCCCGCAAACCCCCAAUCCUUGAAACCUAUAAUAAAAAAGUCCAGGGUGGUCAGGGAGCUCUCGGAUUCUCUGAGUGCUGACCUGCUGACACAACACUAAAGUUCUUUCUCUGUGUUCCUUGUCUCUUUGCUCCUUCUAUGUAUCAUUCUCUCUAGUCCUUAAUCUUUACCCAUUGCUUUCCCAGUCUUAGCUCCUCUCUACAGGGGAUUAAACCCAUGAAAGAAUUUAAUGUAGGGGCUGGGACUCUAUAUCUCCAUUCUUGCUGGUAUGUUAUCUUCCCCCUUAAUACUAUCCCCUAAAGGCAGGGACUGGUUUUUUGCCCUUUUUUGAAUCCUUAAGACUUAGACUAGUGUUUGGUACAUAGUAAGUACUUAUUGAACGUCUGCUUAGGAUACCUUUAAAAUCUUUUUUUUUUUUUUUUUUUUUUUUUGUAUUUAUAAAAGGAGAGAAGCUUGAGGACUCAUCAGCUUCCAGAGGACAUAGGAUUCUCAUAGAUUUAGAGGUAGCCAGUAUCUCAAGCAGGAUCUAAUCCAAAUCCCUCAUUUUACCAAGAUUGCUCAAUAGCAAUAGGGCAGUUGGGGAAAGGGAAGGUUUAGUGAGAAACAGAAUGGGUUCUGUGUAGAAUCUGUUGAGUUUGAGGUGUCUGUGGGACAUCCAGUUCAAGACGUCUGCUAGGCAGCCAGAGAUAAAAGUGAGAAAAGUUAGGAGAGGGGUCAGGGCUGGACAAACAGAUUGGAGAAUCAUCUGUAUAUAGAUGAUCACUGAGCCAAUGGGAGCUGAUGAGAUCAUUAAGAGAUAGAAUAAAGGAGAAGAGAAAGGGCACAGGAUGGAGACUUGGUUAGUGGACAUGAUCUGAAGGAAGAUUGAACAGAAAAGACUAAGGAUAGGUCAGACAUGUGGUAAGAAAACCAGGAAUGCAGCACCAUGAGAACUUAGGAAGGAGAGUGAAGACUAUAGAGAGGCUGGCUGUUUGGAGGGUCAAGCAAGUACAGAGAAGGGGUAAGUGGCCAGACUUUCAAAAUGAGGGUCUGCCUUGGCCUGACAGAUUGGUAAAUGGUGGGCCAUCAAACAGUUGGCUUUUUUGCUGUAAUGAAAAAAGCCACCUGCUUUACUGGAGUCUCAGAGAGACAAAAUGUAAAGUGAGGCUGGCUAGAGUCCUGUCUGCAUGCAGGGACAUCUUGAAAACCCUGCUAGCCCUUCAUACUCAGUAUAUCUCACUAAAAAUAUCUCUGAUUUUGUCAUUUGAGUGGCACAUCUAAGAUUUCUUAGGACAGAUUUAAAGCUCCUCGGAGCCUCAGAGGUCUUCUAGUCCAACCCCCUUAUUUUACUGAGGAGGAAACUG